AUUGAACGCUGGCGGCAUGCCUUACACAUGCAAGUCGAACGGCAGCACGGGUGCUUGCCCCUGGUGGCGAGUGGCGAACGGGUGAGUAAUACAUCGGAACAUGUCCUGUAGUGGGGGAUAGCCCGGCGAAAGCCGGAUUAAUACCGCAUACGAUCUACGGAUGAAAGCGGGGGACCUUCGGGCCUCGCGCUAUAGGGUUGGCCGAUGGCUGAUUAGCUAGUUGGUGGGGUAAAGGCCUACCAAGGCGACGAUCAGUAGCUGGUCUGAGAGGACGACCAGCCACACUGGGACUGAGACACGGCCCAGACUCCUACGGGAGGCAGCAGUGGGGAAUUUUGGACAAUGGGCGAAAGCCUGAUCCAGCAAUGCCGCGUGUGUGAAGAAGGCCUUCGGGUUGUAAAGCACUUUUGUCCGGAAAGAAAUCCUUGGCCCUAAUACGGUCGGGGGAUGACGGUACCGGAAGAAUAAGCACCGGCUAACUAC
rnacentral:rRNA from 1 species